UUGAGGCCGGCGUUCGGCUGCCACUCUCAGCAGUCUUAUUCUGUCUGGGCACACUCAAAUGGUCGCAGGUACCCUUGGGGAUGCCUCAAUUCGAUAUAUUUUGUUUCGAUAAAAAGGGCCAUUUGGUAUGUUUAUACCAAAGACAAUAUUAACACUAAGAACUGGAAACGCUACAACAGUUCCAAUUCGACGUCCACUACCGUCGAGGGGAGCUCAACGUUGUGGCCGACGCACUAUCAAGACAUCAUCUACAGACCUGCCAACAAGCUGCGGUAGCCGACUCACCCAGCAGGUGGGUCGCGAGUAUGAGUGCUAGAAUCGCCGAGGAGCCGGCCAAGUUCUCGUACUACAUAAAAGAUAAUGGGUAACUGAUGGCGAUUAAAUUUCAUGGAAGCUAUGCGUGUCUAGUGAUCAGCGACAGAGGGUAUUGCAGGAAUGCCACAACGCUCCCACGGCCGGACAUCAAGGUGUGAGGAAAGCCGUGUCGAGAUUGGCACAAAGAUACUACUGGCCAGGUAUGUUCCGCGACACCGCCAAGUACGUGAAGUGCUGCGAAAUCUGUCAAAAAUUCAAGAGUGAACAACUCAAACCGGCUGGACAUAUGCUGACGCGGCAGAGCGCAGAGCCAAUGGCAGUACUCUGCGCCAACUUCGUCGUGCCCCUUUCACGCUCGAAACAUGGCAACACAAUGGUAUUGGUGUUCCAUGAUGCCUUUUCAAAGUGGGUAAAAUGGGUCCCUCUCAGGAGGGUCACGGCGGCACACCUGCAGACCGCAUUCCGAGAGAGGAUUCUAAGUAGGUUCGGCGUACACACGAAGUUCGUGUGCGACAACGAAGUACAAUUUACAAGCCGUAGUUUUAUAGCUUUUGUGGAGUUUUGGUGUAGAGGUCCAGACACCGCCCCGUAGUGUCCUCAAGAAAAUCCUACCGAGAGGACCAACAGAACCGUGAAGACCAUGAUAGCGCAAUUUAUCGAGGGCCAUCAGAAUUCGUGGGAGGAGCUUUUCCCUGAGAUAUCGCUGGCGGUCAAUACAAGUGGCGGAUUCGACCGGUUGCCCGGGGACUCCGGGGUCCGCAACUAGUGCGUCCACAGCAAUCUCCAGUGCGCUUCGAAGGACCAGGGAGGACACUACAACCUGCGGAGGCGAGAGUGGUGGCCUUCGUUGGAUUCGAUGGUCCUGUUAAGGCAGCACCAACUAUCCAACGCCGCUGAGGGUUUCGCGGCGAAGGUGGCACCCAAGUUUGAUGACCCCUAUAGCGUCGUCAAAUUCAUAUCCCCUAAUAUAUAUUUUAUUUUGUUUUUUUCCCUUUUUUUUUAAAUGUUGGAAUAAUAAUUGGAAUAAUGAAUGUUGAAAUACACAAACAUUCAUUCAUACAAAAGGUACAAUGACCAAGUAGGCUUUUGUUAUUUUCAGUUUUAAUACUGAAAUGCUUUUAUCGUUUAGCCUCACUUUUACUGAACUUUAGAGAGUUAGCAAGUUAACGUGCUUAGAAAAGUUAUUUAAAAAUAUUGAGAUCAACUAAACCAACAAGUAUUUCAUUUAAUUGUGUACAUUUCAAUAGGUUAAGGGCCCAGACAUCGCAUUACCAAAAAAUUAAAAAAAAUAAAAUCAAAAGCGUACAUAAUUAAAUAAACAAUUAAAUUAUAAAAAAAAAUAGUCUUAUCGUUUAUAUGUGUAUGAAUAUUCGGCAACGCGUAAUUAACACAACUCCUUUGUAGGUUUACAGUGGCUCUAAAGAAGACAAAUCUUAACUGUGCACAAAUAAUUAAAGGUGUGUGAGUGAAUGAAACAAGAAUUUAACGUGACAACGUUUUCGGAAAAUAAAAAAGAAAAAUACAAUCCAAAAGGGUAGCAAAUUCAAGAAUAUUAAUAUUUAUAUGUUAUUGAAAAGGAGAAACCGGAAAAAAUGGGCUAAGGCAAAAGGAGCAGCAAACAAUAUAAUAAUUGAAUUCCUUACCGAUUCGUUUCUGUCAUUUGCUGAGAAUAAGCACUCUGCAAUGGAAAUUUUAAAGAAGUAAGACUCAGUGUUCGUCCGUAAAAGUUUAGCCUCGGUUCACUUUAAAAAAUUUGACGAAUUUAUGAAUGGGUUAAUAGCAUCAGGAGCUAAAAUUGAAGAGGUGGAUAAAGUGUCACACCUACUUUUAACUUUACCUUACACAUAUGAUGGGAUGGUAAAUGCUAUUGAAACCUUGUUAAUUGAAAAACUGACUCUGGCAUUUGUCAAAAAUCGACUACUUGAUCAUGAGAUCGAACUUAAGAAUGCUAGUAAGAAUACGAGCAAUAAUAAGGACAUUCCACAAAAUUUACUAUCGGUGCCAAAGAUGCAGAAUGCUGGUAUGACAAUUCAGUUCAAUUCAACUGGUGUAAGUGUUAAAGAACGGACAAGGCGUUUUAGAAGGUACUUUCACUACUCAAUACUACUACUACUCAAUAGUAGAGGCAGGCAACAAAUGCCUCAUCUACACAUGAGUAGAGGAUAGUUUAUAGAAGUUGUGCGAAAUAAUGUUUGAGGAUAUAGAAAUUUUAAGAAAUGUACAACUGCAUGACAAUUUGUGUGAGGCUUGUGUUAAUGGCAAACAAACUAGACUCCCGUUUAGUGGAACUAAAAAUAAAGACAAUGUCAAGAGACCUUUAUUUAUGGUUCAUUCGGAUGUUUAUGGUCCAAUACCACCUACUUGAAUUCAUGGUGAAAACUAUGAUGUAGUCUUUGUCGAACAAUAUAGACAUUAUUGUGUAAGCUAUUUGAUAACCUAUAAAUCUGAUGUGUUUUCAUUUUUUAAAGAUUAUGUGGCAAAGAGCGAGUCACAUUUUAACUUAAAGGUUGCGAAUCUCUGCAUUGAUAAUGGGAGAGAGUACUUGUCUAACGACAAGCGUAGCUAUUGUUUAGAAUAUGGCAUAAGCUACCAUUCAACGGUUCCUCAUACACCACAACUAAACGGAGUAUCAGAACGCAUGAUUGGAUAUUUAACAGAGAAGGCAAGAACAAAGAUCAAUUCUGCAAAAUUGGGUAAAAGGUUUUGGAGUAAAGCUGUUUUAACAGCAAUAUUUUUAAAUUAAUAGAACUCCAAGUAGGGCAUUACGGGAAAAGAACACCAUUUGUGGCACAACAAAAAACGUAUUUUAAAAUUAAAAAAAAAAAAAUAUUUGGCUUAACGGUUACAUGACACUAGCAGCGAAAUUAGUCGCCUUCCUGCCUUCAACCAUUGAGAAAUAAAGUGAAAGAGCUAAACCAGACACUCUGAGCUUUUUAACCGUUUUAAAAACCACGAGAAUAGAUCGGGCUGGUCCGCAAACGCAAAAUCAAAAUCCAAAGAAAAGCUCAUUUACCAUAGGAAGCAACAGUGCGUACGAAACCUAAUUUGUUCUUCAUCCCCGUUUUGAUCGACAAGAGGUUUGCGAGCCAUGAUGAGGACAUUGGAUACUCAGUGCAAAGAGAGGGGACAAUAAAGCCAAUGUGUUCUUGGGGGUUUCUCUGUCCUUCCUACAAGGCAGCGCGUAGAAACCACAACAGCACAAUUUGGGUACUUAUGUUGUUAUUGAAGAGCCAAGUCUCAGUGCAAGCAGGUAGAAAAUUAUGACGCCAGCAGGCCAUGGCAAUCAUAUUAAAGGGAUACGCGCACGGCGCACUAACAUCAUAUAUUAUAGCGUCACAAUUAAUAGAACUUAAUUUUUUGUGAUGUUUAGUAUAUAUUUCUACUUAUAUUAGGCAUAUUUAAAUAAUUUAUGAAUAGGAUCCUUUACAGUAUAUAAUUGAAUGAUGUAUGUAAUCACUUUAAAUACGAAAUGAUCGCACGGAAUAAACCCUAGGCUGUGACGUCACAUGCGCAACAGAA